rnacentral:rRNA from 1 species
UACGUAGGUGGCAAGCGUUAUCCGGAUUUACUGGGUGUAAAGGGCGUGUAGGCGGGACUGCAAGUCAGAUGUGAAACCCAUGGGCUCAACCCAUGGCCUGCAUUUGAAACUGUAGUUCUUGAGUGAUGGAGAGGCAGGCGGAAUUCCGUGUGUAGCGGUGAGAUGCGUAGAUAUACGGAGGAACACCAGUGGCGAAGGCGGCCUGCUGGACAUUAACUGACGCUGAGGCGCGAAAGCGUGGGGAGCAAACAGG